GACAGAGGUGCCAAGCGUUAGGCGGAAUCACUGGGCUUAAAGCGUGUGUAGGCGGAUCGUUAAGUGCCUUGUGAAAUCCCACGGCUUAACCGUGGAACUGCUCGGCAUACUGGCGGUCUUGAGCAACCUAGGGGCGAGCGGAACAAGCGGUGGAGCGGUGAAAUGCGUAGAUAUCGCUUGGAACGCCGAAGGUGAAAACAGGCUGCUGGGGUUGCGCCGACGCUGAGACACGAAAGCCAGGGGAGCAAACGGG
rnacentral:rRNA from 1 species